UACGUAGGGUGCGAGCGUUAAUCGGAAUUACUGGGCGUAAAGCGUGCGCAGGCGGUUUUGUAAGCCAGAUGUGAAAGCCCCGGGCUUAACCUGGGAAUGGCAUUUGGGACUGCAAGGCUUGAGUGCGGCAGAGGAGACUGGAAUUCCUGGUGUAGUAGUGAAAUGCGUAGAUAUCAGGAGGAAUACCGAUGGCGAAGGCAGGUCUCUGGGCUGACACUGACGCUCAUGCACGAAAGCGUGGGGAGCAAACAGG
rnacentral:rRNA from 1 species